rnacentral:lncRNA from 1 species
ACAUCUCUUGGAGCUCUAGUUCACUUCUCUUGUAUUCUUCAUGUAUUCAUCUGAUUAAUCUAGUUCUUGCCAGUUCUUCUUGAACUUUUUAUUAGAUCUCAAGUCUGUAUUUCUGUGUCCAUGACAGUUUGUCGAGACUUCACUCGCCUCAGAUAUCAGAGCUAGUUUCUUCUUUGUUAGAGUGUGGAUUACCCCUCUGCUUUCAAGUGUACUAGCAUUUUAGAAGUUGCGG